AUGGGGAACACGCUGAGCUGUUGCGUGUGCCCCAAUGCCAGCCCCAAGUUGGGCUGGCGCAAGGGGUGGGCGAAGCUGGACGAUGUGUCUGAGGUCUAUGAGGUGGCGGCCGGGGCCGCGGUGGCUGUAGCGCUGGCGCCAGCUGCCGUGGACCCUGCCAAGUUGGACUUGGGAAGGCGGCGAAGGCCACCACCUGCAGCACAGCAGCAAGCGGGAGAUGCCCGAAGAUUUUGCUUAGGAAUCAAACCCUUCUGACCAGCCAAGGGCAAGCACAAUUUUCCGGAGCAAAUCUCAAACGGAUGUGCGAGAAAAGGGGAAGAGCAACCAUCUAAACCAUGUAUCUCCAGGGCAGCUUACUAAAAAGUAUAGCUCAUGCUCAACAAUAUUUCUAGAUGACAGCACAGUCAGCCAGCCUAAUCUUACAACCACAAUAAAAUGUGUGACCUUAGCAAUCUAUUACCACAUAAAGAACAGAGAUGCAAAUAGAUCCCUGGAUAUUUUUGAUGAGAGAUCACAUUCACUCACACAAGAAAAGCUUCCAGAGGAAUACUUUAAGCGUGAUCCUGAACAUAAAUUCAUUUACAGAUUUGUUUGCGUUCUGUUUAGUGCUGCACAACUACCUGCUGAGUGUGCCAUAGUAACUUUGGUUUACUUAGAAAGGCUUUUAACUUACGCUGAGAUCGAUCUUUGCCCCACUAACUGGAGAAGAAUUGUUUUGGGAGCCAUUCUUCUUGCCUCCAGGGUUUGGGACCAUCAGCCUCUAUGGAAUGUGGACUACUGCCUGAUCCUCAAGGACAUUAUAGUUGAGGACAUGACUGAGCUGGAAAGGCACUUUCUGGAGCUGCUUCAGUUUAAUAUUAAUGUUCCUGCCAGUGUUUAUGUCAAAUACUACUUUGACCUCCGCUCCUUAGCAGAUGAAAACAACCUGAGCUUUCUGUUCGCUCCUCUCAGCAAAGAGCGGGCGCAGAACCUAGAGGCCAUUUCCAGAUUGUGUGACGACAAAUACAAAGACUUGUGCAGAACUGCUGUAAGAAGGUCCUUCAGUGCUGAUCAUUUCAUCGGUAUUCAGCACUCCAGUGCCAUCCUCUCUUAAGGAAGAAGUGAGGGUUUGUAACAUCAGAAACCCCUCGCAACAAGGACUGGAGAAAUAUCACCUCUCCUGUUCAGAAACCAGCAAAGUUAGUAUUUUCACCUAAAAGAAAGACAUUGAAUUCAAGAGACUCACGGACAGCGAGGAUUAUAUAUGCUCAUAGGAAAGAACGGGACCUUGUCAAUGCAACACACUCUUCUGUCCUUUUUAAUGUAAACAGAGUUACAAAAACCACUCCAAAGCUAAAAGCUCCCAACCCACACACAGUUGUUUGCUUACUCUGUAGGCCAAUAGCUCUGAACGAUGUGAGGUUUUUUAAUUAGCAGUUUAAAUUUUUAGACUUUAAAGACACUAACUAUAUAACAUUUACGUUUUCCCUGCUUUUCUUGCCCCACUCCCCCAUGUUGCUGCAUAUUCCUUUAGAAUCAAUGCAGUAUUACCAUUAAAACAUGGGCCUCCUAACAACUCAUAAAGCCACUUAGGAACAGACUGUUGUAGCAUUGUUCAGUUUGAAGGCUUCUUCCUCCCUACUACAUCAUUGAAGCUGCUUGUCAUUAUUGGCAAUCGAUUUAAACCAAAAAGCUGCUGAAUAACACUUGUCAUUCAAAUUCUUUGCAAGCACUACUCCUUAGCAUUAUUAGCGUGUUUGGGAUCAAAAGCAGAGAAAGUAUGUUAUCAUCUGCUUCUGUUGAGUCCGUGCUGCAUUUCUUUUUGACUCUAAUGGUGCUUCUCAUUUUCUGAUGAUUUUCCUCUUUGUUAAAUACUUGUGUGAAAGGCUAUUUUCCUAAUUCCAGCCAACAUGGUGGUCCAGUAAUUAGCAAGCAGGUAAUAAAGUAGAAGGUGUCCCAAAAGUCUUAGUGCAAUUUUAAGCUUUAAUAUAAGUGUGCUUGACACUGCAGGACACUGUUGCAGAAGUAUAAAUGCUACAGACUGGCAGAACAUCAUUUGAAAGUCUACUUGGAUGUCUUCUGAACUCAUUUAGUUUUGUAAAUUUUAAACAUUAAGCUUUUAAUUUUAAUUUUUUGUUUCAGCCCCUCUUGAAGAUAGCAAACAAUGGGCCGAAACAAAAAAUUAAAAUUAAGAGCUUAGUAUCUCUCUUUUAGGAGAUUGGUAAUGAUGUCACCUAAACUUGAAAUAUUAAAAAACAAAAAAGAAAGAAAGUUUUUUUUUCUUUAAGCUCUUUAUUGGAAUAUAAUUGCUUUACACUCUUGUACCAGCUUUUGAGGUACACCAAAGUGAAUAAGCUGUAUUUAUACAUAUAUCCCCUCCCUCCUGCAACUCCCUCCUGCUCUCCCUGUCCUGGCCCUCUAAGGCAUCACCCAUCAUCGAGUUGAUCUCCCUUUGUUAUACAGCAACUUCCCACUAUUUACCUCUUUUCCAGUUGGUAGUGCAUAUAUGUCUCUGCUACUCUCUCACUUCGUCCCAGCUUCCCUUUCGCCCCCCACCCCCCCAACCCCGUGUCCUCCAGUCCAUUCUCUGCGUCUGCAUCCUUAUCCUUGCCCUGUGGGUCAGUUGUUGAUUGGGAGAAAUGGUCUGAUUUAGUACAGAAGGGAAAAAAAAUCUAUCACAAGUCACUGAUAGUUCGCAUCAUGUAAUACGCCAGUUACUAAGCAGAAAUGCUGACAUAUCUUGAGUGGUGGAAGGUGAAAAAAAAAUGGGUAGGAACAUUGGACACAAGUGUAGCUUCAAGAAUAAGUUGCUAGAAUAAGGAGAAUCACUAAGAAAUUGCUCUUCUCUUUCAGCUUUAAUUCUGAGGCAAUACAGCCAUUUUGAUAAAUGGGAAAUUGAGUCAACUUAAGGUAGAAAUUUAAACAUCGCUGAAAGUAGGUUCUCUGAAAAUUAUGAUGGGGCAUGGAAACUAGUUACUAGUUGGGUGGCAACUACGGCAGUUUUUUCAUGAUUUUAUACCUAGGAAGGGUUUGUUCCCUAAAGUAGUAAGACUAUAAUAAAAGAAUAUCUGACUACCUCAACUCAGAUUUUGUUCUGUUUUGUUUUUUUCUGUUGGAAUGUUGACAUCAGUGCAACUUUAACUCUGGUAUACUGUGAACUGAACUUUAUUCUUUACAAGGAAAAGACAAAGGUUUGAAAUGUAUGUUUGAACCAAAUGAAAUUGCCGUUUUUGUACGUUAAAUUCACAUGGUUCACCCUAAGACAGCUGCUUACUAGGGCCCGGUGUUUAUGGCUAAGGAAUGUUUUCCCUCCUGUAUCAGAUUCCAUCAUGGCACAGUUCUUUCACAUUUACUCCUCGUGUACCCUGUAUGCUCAUUAUUGAAAUCCAACAGCUCUAAUUCCUAGUUUUAGAACAGUUCAAGUUUCAUUUCUCAGUUUCGUUUUCCCAUUCUAUAAAAUGUACCGUUCCUUGAUUUGGGGGAAAACAUGCUGAAGCCAGUAUUUACUGGAAAACAAUUCACUCUGUAUUCAGGUUAUGUGGUGUUUUUGGAAGUGUUUCCCUACAGCAUGUAGGUUAGCUAAAAUCUUUCAUCACCCAGGCCUCCUCUCUAAGCACAUGUAAAAUGACUACACUGUUCCCUCACCCAGAAGCCACAUUCCUGAGUAGAGAGCUACUUGGUAAAGCACUCGACAGCUGGCAGAGGCUCUCCCAGGUAAGGGCUGGUUUCUAUGCAGAAUCUGUAGAUUAUACCCAGCAACUCUCAAGUUAAAGAGUAGACCACCUAAAAUCUUAGCUGUUUGCCACUUACCAACCUGGCCAGCCUGACUCUGUGCCAGCAAGAAUACAAGGAGUGCUUCAGCGAAGCCUGGUCCUUUGUACGCAGGUGCAGUCUGUUUGGUUUCUGAGGCAAUUUCCACUAGUCUAUUUUAAAUGGAUUUGACAGAUUACAUGUGCUUAAUGUGAAACAGAUUUUCAGUAUACCAGUUUAUGGUUUAGGAUCUCUAGGGUGCAGAAAGAACUAGGAAAAGUGAAACUAUAGAAAUUAAGAGGAAUCCAGAGUUAAAGGAAAAGCGGUUCCUGUUCUUUAAAAAGAGGAACAAGUUAGGUGAUUGUUGUAACUGCUGUGAAGGGAGCUAAGUAAGUUGAACGUGAUUAGACAAAUUCAGUGACAGCCUCAGAACCUAAGGUCCUCCAGAAUGUGUAGAUUAUCUACUUCAAGACCUCCAAUUAUUCUGCUAGCUUUUUCUUAAAACAUCUAUUCCUUCAUCUUACCAUUCUCAAUUCUACUAACCUUUACUUCUAGCUCCCCAGAUGGUGGCCCUGUAUCUCCUCACUGUGAGAACUGACGCGUCCAAAGGCAGAGCUUCCAUGUUUUGUCCACCUCCCACUGCCCUCUCUCAACAAGGUCACAUCAGCUUCACCUUUUGCCUUUCUGCUAGUGUCCAGUGUGGCAAUGCUUGAUAUCAGUUACUACUAUGACCCAGUUCCAAAACAUUAUCCCCAGGUUCCAGGAAAUAUAAUAAUAAGAAUCGCCUUUAAUCAAUGACUUGGGCCCUCCUGUGUUCCCCCAAAGUAUCGAUAGUUCCCAAUUUGCUGCACUCCCCUGACCUGCCCACAACCCUAGAUGUGUCUCAGGCUAGGCAGCAGCCCCACCUUCCAAGCAUUAGGAACAGACACCUUUGUUUUCUUUUUUCUUUUGGC